rfam:Capsaspora owczarzaki ATCC 30864 unplaced genomic scaffold supercont2.17, whole genome shotgun sequence.
AACUUUUAACGGUGGAUCUCUAGGCUCGUGUAUCGAUGAAGAACGCAGCGAACUGCGAUACGUAGUGUGAAUUGCAGAAUUGUGAAUCAUCGAAUCUUUGAACGCAACUUGCGCUCUGGGGCAUUCCUCAGAGCAUGCCUGCUUGAGUAUCA